rnacentral:lncRNA from 1 species
GUGAUGGACAGGGAGGCCUGGCAUGCUGCGAUUCAUAGGGUCACAAAGAGAUGGAUGCGACUGAGCGACUGAACUGAACUGAACAUGAAGUGAAAUAACUUUGUUUAUGGCUCCCCAGAGUUGAGCAUGGUUUGGGAAAGAAAAAAAAAAAAAAAAGACUAGUUCCUAUUGCACUUUCAAUAUUGUUUUUACCUUUGAAAUAGCAUAAAUAAACUCUAUUUUCAUUUUUUAAUCUCUGCUUUGAAAAUUCUCUUAGAAAUGACUUGCAGAAUUUUAAGGGUGAGUGUUUUAUAGAGUUAAAAAACUGUAAGUUUAUGUCAAAAUACAAGUUGGGUUAUAGAAUAGCAGCACUGUUUUGUCUCAUUUGACAUUUCUGUCAUUAACUGUCAUGGUAGACAAUGAACCAUGAAUCAUGACAAAUUAUAAACUCCUCAAACUGUGCUAUAUGAAACAUCAUAGUAAAAAUACCAUCUUACUUUGCCUUGAGCUUCAAGGUCUGGCCUUAAUACAGUCCGGGUGUUCAUACACUGGAUUCCAGUCUCUCGGUUAUGGUGAAGACAUUGAUAUUUUGGGUGAGUACAAUUUUUGUGGGGAUGUAAGAAGAUAUAAUUUUGUUGUAUUUGAGCAAGUAGCUCCUCCCUUGAAUUUAUUUUCUUUUCGGUCUUAUAUGAUUCAGCAUUUGGUGGAUGAUGGAGCUGUUGAUCCCUUGCCAUUGAUCCAGAAGUUUGAAGGGCAUGUUUAGCUUCAACGGGAGUUUUCCUCUGUCUCCUAAAGGGUGUUGCAUCUACAGAAAAAAAUCUGAGAUUCCUUUGCAUGGAAUGUUUGUCUAUUUUACCCAAUUAUUUUUUUAUUCAAUAAUUUACAUCACGAUGGAUAUUUAUUUUAUUCAUGUGUGCUAAGUCGCUUUAUUCAUGUCCAACUCUUUGCUACCCUAUGGACUGUAGCCUCAGGCUCCUCUAACCAUGGGAUUCUCCAGAUGAGAAUAUUGGAGUGGGUUACCAUGCCCUUCUCCAGGGGAAAUCUUUCUGAUUCAGGGAUCAAAACUCUGUCUUUUGUCAACUGCAUUGCAGGUGGAUUCUUUACCACUAGCAUCACCUUGGAAGUCCCUAUUUAUUUUAUACUUUGUGUUAUGUUGCAACACUACUUUUUCAUUCAAAUUUUUCUAGAUUUAGCCGGGGUGGGGGGAGCUUUUUCAAUUGCCUCUUUUAAACAUACCCUCAUUAAUAAAAAUGGUGAUUGUUGUUAUUUUUGGAGCACUACCUAACUUUCUGGCACUACAAAGUACUGCAGGUUCAUCC